UACGGAGGGGGCUAGCGUUGUUCGGAAUUACUGGGCGUAAAGCGCACGUAGGCGGCUUUGUAAGUUAGAGGUGAAAGCCCCGGGCUCAACUUGGGAACGGCAUUGGAAACUGGCGAGCUAGAGUGUGGCAGAGGGGGGUGGAAUUCCGCGUGUAGCAGUGAAAUGCGUAGAGAUGCGGAGGAACACCGAUGGCGAAGGCAGCCCCCUGGGCUGACACUGACGCUCAGGCACGAAAGCGUGGGGAGCAAACAGG
rnacentral:rRNA from 1 species